rnacentral:lncRNA from 1 species
UGCUGUGCUGUUGCAUUGCAAUUUGCACAUUGACAGUUGAUUUUACAAAUCUUCGUUCCUCCAUUCCUCGCCCUUCGGUUUCUUUCGCUUUAUAUUGCUAAAAUAUGCUACAUCUGUAUCGAAUUUUCGUUUACCAUUGAAGCAAACUCUUAACAUGGGGUUGUUGGGGGCGCGUGAGGGGUGUUCUGCCGCGUGCUCGCUGCCGGCGCAGAGAGCUGGCGGGCACACGCGUGCGAGUGCCGCGCCGAGCUGUGCGAGCGAGCUCCCGCUGAGUGACGUGGCGCGCGAUGCGUUUCUGACGAGUCAGCCAUGGAUAAUGCGAGUGAAACUACACGAGUAGAACUCCAGUAGUGUGAAGUCUGACAGUCUCCUGUAAGUAUUGCAAUACUCAUUAUAAAGCUACAUUAUGUGUGAGUAACAUAGGCUAUAUUUUAACCCGGUACGAGCAGUAGUUCCCGUAGGAACGCAGGUGGUACUGCGGGAAAACGGCUAGUCUAUACUAAACUGACAAAGGUCAAUUGGUUUUAAAGCAUAUUAUGUUAUAAAUUGUUUGUUUACAUGCGCAUGGUGGCAAUGAGGGUUUUUUCAAUUUUUUCUGCCACCGGGUGGCGCCACGUAUGCAUCUGGUCCAAACAGCUGUCAAAUAGUAUGGAAU